CAAGUCGAGCGGGCGUAGCAAUACGUCAGCGGCAGACGGGUGAGUAACGCGUGGGAACGUACCUUUUGGUUCGGAACAACACAGGGAAACUUGUGCUAAUACCGGAUAAGCCCUUACGGGGAAAGAUUUAUCGCCGAAAGAUCGGCCCGCGUCUGAUUAGCUAGUUGGUGAGGUAAUGGCUCACCAAGGCGACGAUCAGUAGCUGGUCUGAGAGGAUGAUCAGCCACAUUGGGACUGAGACACGGCCCAAACUCCUACGGGAGGCAGCAGUGGGGAUAUUGGACAAUGGGCGCAAGCCUGAUCCAGCCAUGCCGCGUGAGUGAUGAAGGCCCUAGGGUUGUAAAGCUCUUUUGUGCGGGAAGAUAAUGACGGUACCGCAAGAAUAAGCCCCGGCUAACUUCGUGCCAGCAGCCGCGGUAAUACGAAGGGGGCUAGCGUUGCUCGGAAUCACUGGGCGUAAAGGGUGCGUAGGCGGGUCUUUAAGUCAGGGGUGAAAUCCUGGAGCUCAACUCCAGAACUGCCUUUGAUACUGAAGAUCCUGAGUUCGGGAGAGGUGAGUGGAACUGCGAGUGUAGAGGUGAAAUUCGUAGAUAUUCGCAAGAACACCAGUGGCGAAGGCGGCUCACUGGCCCGAUACUGACGCUGAGGCACGAAAGCGUGGGGAGCAAACAGG
rnacentral:rRNA from 1 species